rnacentral:rRNA from 1 species
UACGAAGGGGGGCUAGCGUUGCUCGGAAUCACUGGGCGUAAAGGGUGCGUAGGCGGGUCUUUAAGUCAGGGGUGAAAUCCUGGAGCUCAACUCCGGAACUGCCCUUGAAACUGCAGUGCUAGAAUUCUGGAGAGGCGAGUGGAAUUCCGAGUGUAGAGGUGAAAUUCGUAGAUAUUCGGAAGAACACCAGUGGCGAAGGCGACUCGCUGGACAGACAUUGACGCUGAGGUGCGAAAGCGUGGGGAGCAAACAGG